GGGGAGGACUUAAGAUGGGCAUUAAAGUUAAAAAUAGAAACAGCUUGCUAAUUUUCUUUAUGGGUUCAACUAACACUUUCGAAUCGGUGCUCGACCCAGGCCUGGAGCACCGCUUCACGAGGAAGUAAAUCUUCAUUCCCGACGAGACGAGCGGCGAGGCGGCACCGCGGCUCCAGGCGGGGCGGCGGCUCCUCCGACACCCGCGUCAUGCCCUUCAGCUUCCAGCAGCAGACGAGCGGCUGAACAGACACUCCCCGGGAUGUCUGAACGACAGCCAGGCUGGACUGAAUGAUCCAGCAGUUGCUGCAGGUGUGGCCAGGUGUUGCAACCCUCCAAUAAGCACCUGUACCAAUCUGGAUAGAGAUGUGUAGUUCACAGUGUAAGGACAAUCCAGUUGCCAGUCAAACAUCUGGCACUGUUCCCCAAAAGAGCUGACAAACUCCGAGCCAAGUUUUUUU